UUCCGGUUGAUCCUGCCGGACCUGACUGCUAUCGGAUUGAUACUAAGCCAUGCGAGUUUUUGUAGCAAUACAAGGCAUACGGCUCAGUAACACGUAGUCAAUCUAACCUAUGGACGAGGAUAACCUCGGGAAACUGAGAAUAAUACUCGAUAGAUCAUUAUGCCUGGAACGGUUUAUGGUUAAAAUGAAUUUCGCCAUAGGAUGGGACUGCGGUCUAUCAGCUUGUUGGUGAUGUAAUGGACCACCAAGGCUAUAACAGAUACGGGCUCUGAGAGGAGAAGCCCGGAGAUGGGUACUGAAACACGGACCCAGGCCCUAUGGGGCGCAGCAGGCGAGAAAACUUUGCAAUGUGCGAAAGCACGACAAGGUUAAUCCGAGUGAUUCCUGCUAAAGGAAUCUUUUGUUUGUCAUAAAACCACUAAUGAAUAAGGGGUGGGCAAGUUCUGGUGUCAGCCGCCGCGGUAAAACCAGCACCUCAAGUGGUCAGGAUGAUUAUUGGGCCUAAAGCAUCCGUAGCCGGCUUUGUAAGUUUUCGGUUAAAUCUAUAUGCUCAACAUAUAGGCCGCCGGGAAUACUGCAAAGCUAGGGAGUGGGAGAGGUAGACGGUACUCCGUAGGAAGGGGUAAAAUCCUUUGAUCUAUGGAUGACCACCUGUGGCGAAGGCGGUCUACCAGAACACGUUCGACGGUGAGGGAUGAAAGCUGGGGGAGCAAACCGGAUUAGAUACCCGGGUAGUCCCAGCUGUAAACUAUGCAAACUCAGUGAUGCAUUGGCUUGUGGCCAGUGCAGUGCCGCAGAGAAGUCGUUAAGUUUGCCGCCUGGGAAGUACGUACGCAAGUAUGAAACUUAAAGGAAUUGGCGGGGGAGCACCACAAGGGGUGAAGCCUGCGGUUCAAUUGGAGUCAACGCCGGG
rnacentral:rRNA from 1 species